CUGCCUCCUCCCUGCUGGGCCUCGGGAGGUUGUAGAGCAGGUGAGGAGCUGAAGUUUCCCCAGCUCUUCCAAACUCCAUCCAGACCGUGAAUGCUCACAUCCCCUUUCUUCCUCCUGGUGUCUCUCUGUUCAGCCCCUAGAUACACAGCUAGGGUCACUCACCACACUCGUGUGAGGCCUGCUUGUAAGCUCAGGACACACUGGAUGAAGACCCAGCCAAGACCACAAUGUGAACCUCACCUCCUCCAGGAAGCCUUCCCUGACUACCUUCAAAGUCAUUUUAUACUUUAUGACCAAGGUCAGUUCCACCUUGUAAGAGCAGCAGCGCCCGGGGCAGCCACCACCAAAACAGCAGGCCAACAGAGUGGUGAGCAGGGCAUUGGUCAGUGAAGCAGGAAGGAGGACCAGCUCUUGGAAGACAGUGCAGCCAGGCCCCUAUUCCCCCAGCAAAGCCCUAAGCACUGCUCUGGAUCUCUUCCUAUAUUUUCUCCACUUUCCCCAAGCCUCUAGUUAGAGAACAUUCCAGAUGAACUGCUUGUCUCCAAGCCAGGAAGCUCUCCAUAGGUUUCAGUCCAAUUCAUCUCAGCCUUGGGGGCCUCCAGAAUAGGAUUGCCAGGCAUCCUGUAUAUCAGAAUAUCUUAUACCUGCUAAACAUGUCCCACACCCUGUGUGGGCCAGCAGGAUGUCCUCCACAAACAAGAUUUAGCUUUUUUUUCUUUUCCUUUUUUUUUUUCAGGAUUCAGCUUUUAUCAAUCGAUAAAAAACAUUCAGCCCUUUUAGAGCUCUUUUCUUAGUUUAUCUGGGCAUCCUAUAUUUUUAUUUGCUAAAUCUGGCAACGUCAUUCCCAGAAGCCAGGUAUUUAGAGACCACACCACACACCACACCCUGGGGGAAGGUAAAGGGGGUGGUUUCUACACAGAUCACAUAAGUAGUUCUGUGUGUAUGUAUGUGUGUGUGUGUGUGUGUGUGUGUGUGUGUGUGUCCGUGCAUGUUAUGUGUGUGCCUGUGUGUGCCCCAAGCCCCCUGGGAGUGUGCUCUGCGUGUAGGUAGGUAUGAGCCUGUUUGGCACAGGGGUUGAGCCAUCAUCUUCAUUCAUCGCUGAACAAAGCAUGGUGGGAGAGGGGGUGGUAGGGGAAGACUCACCAGGAUUUUC
rnacentral:lncRNA from 1 species